rnacentral:rRNA from 1 species
AUUGAGCGCUGGCGGCAUGCCUUACACAUGCAAAUCGAACGGCAGCGGACCUUCGGGUGCCGGCGAGUGGCGAACGGGUGAGUAAUAUAUCGGAACGUACCUUUCAGUGGGGGAUAACGUAGCGAAAGUUACGCUAAUACCGCAUAUUCUGUGAGCAGGAAAGCAGGGGAUCGCAAGACCUUGCGCUGAUUGAGCGGCCGAUAUCAGAUUAGCUAGUUGGUGAGGUAAAGGCUCACCAAGGCGACGAUCUGUAGCGGGUCUGAGAGGAUGAUCCGCCACACUGGAACUGAGACACGGUCCAGACUCCUACGGGAGGCAGCAGUGGGGAAUUUUGGACAAUGGGCGCAAGCCUGAUCCAGCCAUGCCGCGUGAGUGAAGAAGGCCUUCGGGUUGUAAAGCUCUUUCGGCCGGGAAGAAAUCGCACAGGUUAAUACCCUGUGUGGAUGACGGUACCGGAAUAAGAAGCACCGGCUAACUACGUG